UCUCCUGCUAACAAAUGGGGGAAGUGAUUCGUGAUUUAUAGUUUAUUCUACCAUAACUAUGUUGAGUGCCAUCCCUACUGUUUUAAUGUUUAGCAUUUUUUUUAGCUAGUGCUAAUGGAAUACUGCUGCAAAAAUAUGAAAUGUUUGGUAAAUAAAGGAUCAUCCUCCUUAGCUUUAGGAAUAUGAAGCGUCUUUCCGUUCAACUGCAUCCGACUCCCGCCACCUAAUCUUUCGUAAUUGCUACAUGCAAUCAAGUCUGCCAUGUGCCUGACAAGCCAUCAACCACUCCUAGUAUCCCUGCUGUGAUGAAUUUAGGCUGUUCGGGGUCAAAUGUGUACACGGCGAAGGAAGCAAGUUAGUGCACCAAUCAUUUCAGCCAGUAAUUCAGUACAUAUGUAUUACACAAUGCCCUCAUCCUAGCUGGAAUUCAGCUUGUCAGUUUAAUAAAGAGGCUAUCAAAGUAAAUUAUUUGUUUUAUGCACAUCUCCUAAAUUGAUAUGACACAGGCUAAAAUAUGAAUGUCUCGUAUUGGCAUUUGACUACGUGAGCUGUAUUUUACUUUGACACUGAGGCUAAGUCUUCAUGUCUGUGUUUGUUUGCCGCUUCCCAGAUCUUGCAUAAGAAAUUUUAGAACGCUAUAAAUAUAAACCAAUGAUAACGUUGAAAGAUUUUCGGAAAAGAAGUUCUUGUUGUGCAAACAUUAGCAUCAGAAAGCAGGAGCGCGUCCUUAUUUCACAAAUUGUACCAAACCACGCGGCUGUCAAGGCCUGAUUGAUUUAUUUUAUUAAAGACUGUGAUUAAACACAGGAUCCUUUUCACUAAGGUCAACAGAACAGGUUAAUUUCAAGCAGCAUCUUCCUCCUGGGAAGAAGGUUUUGGAUGCUGCUGUCAUCCAUCUCUGUACUUGCUGUGUCCUACAAUUAACCCCAGUGGCAGUGUUGACAAAAUACUUGUCUUUUCCAGUUAGUCGCAGCCAUGCUUGCUUUUUCAGACCAAAGCAUUUGCAAUGUUAUAUCCCCCCUAUGUUGUAUAUUGUGUCGUAUUGCAAUGAGCGUGCGAUAUAAUACAGCUAAAGGUGCAGACUGCAGAGAAAUCCUCUUUCUGUACAUUGAUAUUAUCAGGACGGUGAGAUAAUGAUUGUGUCCUUUACUUUCAGGCUUCCUUCUUUCUUACCGAACUAGUUAUAAGGAGAAAAUGUCUUGAAGGGAAACGAUCAUUAUCUCACCGGUGACAAGGAAUUAAUUGACGUCUCUGGAGUUGCAGCUACAUUUCAACGUUAAAGGUCAUACAAGGUAGAGGGGAGGACUGAACACGCAACAGCUGUCACCUGUCCGAGCCACAAUGCCGCAUACCUGUCCGUGAUAUUGCACCUUAUCUGCACUGAAUAAACCUUCUACACAACCUAUACUGGAGCGCUUUAUUUCCUCCUAUUGCUUCAGCCACAAAUAUGAAUUAAAGGAGGACCAAAAUAUCUUCAUCGCCUUCACUAAGGGAAAUACUGCAUCAUUAUAGUAAACAUUUCAAG